GAUGAACGCUGGCGGCGUGCUUAACACAUGCAAGUCGAACGAGAAGUGAAGACGGAAACCUUCGGGCGGAAGGCUUUAUUUCGAGUGGCGGACGGGUGAGUAACGCGUGGGUAACCUGCCUCAUACAGGGGGAUAACAGUUGGAAACGACUGUUAAUACCGCAUAAGACCACAGCACCGCAUGGUGCGGGGGUAAAAACUCCGGUGGUAUGAGAUGGACCCGCGUUCGAUUAGCCAGUUGGCGGGGUAACGGCCCACCAAAGCGACGAUCGAUAGCCGAUCUGAGAGGAUGACCGGCCACAUUGGGACUGAGACACGGCCCAAACUCCUACGGGAGGCAGCAGUGGGGAAUAUUGCACAAUGGGGGAAACCCUGAUGCAGCGACGCAGCGUGAGUGAAGAAGUAUUUCGGUAUGUAAAGCUCUAUCAGCAGGGAAGAAAAUGACGGUACCUGAGUAAGAAGCCCCGGCUAACUACGUG
rnacentral:rRNA from 1 species